CAAUUCUUUCUUAACUUACACAUGCAAGUCUCCGCACACCCGUGAGUAAUACUCUUUAAACCUAGCCUAGAUUAAAGAACUGGUAUCAGGCGCAACUAUCCUGCCUAAAACACCUAGUCUCACCACGCCCCCAAGGGCCUCCAGCAGUGAUUAAUAUUGCGCAUGAGCGACAGCUCGACUCAGUUAGAGAAAAGAGAGCCGGCCAACCUGGUGCCAGCCGCCGCGGCUAUACCAGAGGGCUCAAAUUGUUAACCCCUCGGCGUUAAGCGUGAUUAAAGUUAACAUUAUAUUAGUAUUAAAUUAAUGCUUGGUAGUAAUAAGCCUGUCAUUAAGAAACACAUAAACGAAAGUUAUCCUAAUUACUUACUUAAACUCACGACAGCUGUGAUUACAAACCGGGAUUAGAUACCCCAUUAUGCUCAGCCGUAAACAAUCAACUUACACUAACCAACGCCAGGGUACUACGAGCUAUGCUUAAAACCCAAAGGACUUGACGGUGUCCCACCCACCUAGAGGAGCCUGUUUUUUAAUCGAUGAUCCCCGCUUCACCCCACCAUUCCUUGCUUAUCAGUCUGUAUACCUCCGUCGAAAGCCUACCAUAUGAAUGUUUAAGUAGGCCCAAAGAUUUUCUAGUCAAUACGUCAGGUCAAGGUGCAACUUAUGGGAUGGAAAGUAAUGGGCUACAAUUUCUAAAAUAGAACAAACGAAGCACUAUAUGAAACCCUAGUCACGAAGGUGGAUUUAGUAGUAAAAAGAAAAUAGAGAGUUCUUUUGAACCUGGCUCUGGGACGCGUACACACCGCCCGUCACCCUCUUCGAUAGCUUUAUAACCUGAUUCUUAACUUUUU
rnacentral:ncRNA from 1 species